rnacentral:miRNA from 1 species
UGAGGCAGGAGAAUUGCUUGAACCCAGGAGGUGGAGGCUGCAGUGAGCCGAGAUCGGACCACUGCACUCCAGCCUGGGCGACACAGCGAGACUCC